UACGUAGGGUGCGAGCGUUAAUCGGAAUUACUGGGCGUAAAGCGUGCGCAGGCGGUCUUGUAAGCCAGAUGUGAAAGCCCCGGGCUUAACCUGGGAACUGCAUUUGGGACUGCAAGGCUGGAGUACGGCAGAGGGAGGUGGAAUUCCACGUGUAGCAGUGAAAUGCGUAGAGAUGUGGAGGAACACCGAUGGCGAAGGCAGCCUCCUGGGCUAGUACUGACGCUGAGGAGCGAAAGCGUGGGGAGCAAACAGG
rnacentral:rRNA from 1 species